GUGAACGCUGGCGGUAGGCCUAACACAUGCAAGUCGAACGGCAGCACAGUAAGAGCUUGCUCUUACGGGUGGCGAGUGGCGGACGGGUGAGGAAUACAUCGGAAUCUACUUUUUCGUGGGGGAUAACGUAGGGAAACUUACGCUAAUACCGCAUACGACCUACGGGUGAAAGCAGGGGAUCUUCGGACCUUGCGCGAUUGAAUGAGCCGAUGUCGGAUUAGCUAGUUGGCGGGGUAAAGGCCCACCAAGGCGACGAUCCGUAGCUGGUCUGAGAGGAUGAUCAGCCACACUGGAACUGAGACACGGUCCAGACUCCUACGGGAGGCAGCAGUGGGGAAUAUUGGACAAUGGGCGCAAGCCUGAUCCAGCCAUACCGCGUGGGUGAAGAAGGCCUUCGGGUUGUAAAGCCCUUUUGUUGGGAAAGAAAAGCAGCAGGUUAAUACCCCGCUGUUCUGACGGUACCCAAAGAAUAAGCACCGGCUAACUUUGUG
rnacentral:rRNA from 1 species